UACGGGGGGGGUAAGCGUUGUUCGGAAUUACUGGGCGUAAAGGGCUCGUAGGCGGCCAACUAAGUCGGACGUGAAAUCCCUCAGCUUAACUGGGGAACUGCGUCCGAUACUGGAUGGCUUGGAUUCGGGAGAGGAAUGCGGAAUUCCCAGUGUAGCGGUGAAAUGCGUAGAUAUUGGGAGGAACACCAGUGGCGAAGGCGGCUCACUGGACCGGAACUGACGCUGAGGCGCGAAAGCGUGGGGAGCAAACAGG
rnacentral:rRNA from 1 species